AACGAACGCUGGCGGCAUGCCUAAUACAUGCAAGUCGAACGAGAUCUUCGGAUCUAGUGGCGCACGGGUGCGUAACGCGUGGGAAUCUGCCCUUGGGUUCGGAAUAACUUCUGGAAACGGAAGCUAAUACCGGAUGAUGACGUAAGUCCAAAGAUUUAUCGCCCAAGGAUGAGCCCGCGUAGGAUUAGGUAGUUGGUGAGGUAAAGGCUCACCAAGCCGACGAUCCUUAGCUGGUCUGAGAGGAUGAUCAGCCACACUGGGACUGAGACACGGCCCAGACUCCUACGGGAGGCAGCAGUAGGGAAUAUUGGACAAUGGGCGAAAGCCUGAUACAGCAAUGCCGCGUGAGUGAUGAAGGCCUUAGGGUUGUAAAGCUCUUUUACCCGGGAUGAUAAUGACAGUACCGGGAGAAUAAGCUCCGGCUAACUCCGUG
rnacentral:rRNA from 1 species